GUAGAAAACUAUAUGCAGGGAAAACCCUGCAUUUAGCUAAUAAGCAUUCAGUCCACCUAUUUCUUCUACCUGCCCACCCUAAUAUAGCAGGCUAGAAC